rnacentral:ncRNA from 1 species
GUGUUAUAUGAAAAGAAAGAUGGUUAGGAUGGUAGAGGACCUCAGGCUUAACAACACACAUACAGUUAGGGCAUUCCGACGUACUUAGUACCAUGUCACCAUCCUUUUUC